UACGUAGGGACCAAGCGUUGCUCGGAAUUACUGGGCGUAAAGGGCGCGUAGGCGGGAUGGUAAGUCGGUCGUGAAAUCCCUCGGCUCAACCGAGGAACGUCGAUCGAUACUACCGUUCUUGAGGAUUGCAGAGGAGACUGGAAUUCCCGGUGUAGCGGUGAAAUGCGUAGAGAUCGGGAGGAAUACCCGUGGCGAAGGCGGCCAGCUGGGCUACACCUGACACUGAGACGCGGAGGCGUGGGGAGCGAACGGG
rnacentral:rRNA from 1 species